UAAACAUCCAGGUCAAGUGACAGAGCUCAGCUAAAAUCCAGAAGUCCCCUGACACCAGAGUUAGUUUUCCAUGAAAGAAAUGCCUAUAAGAAACUGGACCAGGAUAAAGCAAAGAGUAAGGGGCAGGAAGAAAGCUUAUAAUUGCAUUACUGCAAUCUUCUGCAAAAUCAGACUUCUGCUUCUGUUCCACCUCUUUAAAGCUGAAAAUGCC
rnacentral:lncRNA from 1 species